AUUGAACGCUGGCGGCAGGCCUAAAACAUGCAAGUCGAGCGAGCGGCGGACGGGUGAGUAAUGUAUGGGGACUGCCCGAUAGAGGGGGAUAACUACUGGAAACGGCAGCUCAUACCGCAUCAUAUCGGAUAACCCUUCGGGGAUUACCUAGUGGGUGAGGUAAUGGCUUACCUAGGCGACGAUCCCUAGAUGGUCUGAGGGGAUGAUCGGCCACACUGGGAAUGAGACACGGCCCAGACUCCUACGGAGGCAGCAGUGGGGAAUAUUGCACAAUGGGCGCAAGCCUGAUGCAGCCAUGCCGCGUGUAUGAAGAAGGCACUAGGGUUGUAAAGUAAUUUCAGUCGGGAGGCGUUACCGACAGAAGAAGCACCGGCUAACUCCGUGCCAGCAGCCGCGGUAAUAC
rnacentral:rRNA from 1 species